rnacentral:rRNA from 1 species
GUGGGGAAUAUUGGACAAUGGGCGAAAGCCUGAUCCAGCCAUGCCGCGUGUGUGAAGAAGGUCUUCGGAUUGUAAAGCACUUUAAGUUGGGAGGAAGGGCAGUAAGUUAAUACCUUGCUGUUUUGACGUUACCGACAGAAUAAGCACCGGCUAACUUCGUGCCAGCAGCCGCGGUAAUCCGAAGGGUGCAAGCGUUAAUCGGAAUUACUGGGCGUAAAGCGCGCGUAGGUGGUUUUGUAAGUUGGAGGUGAAAUCCCCGGGCUCAACCUGGGAACUGCCUCCAAAACUGCAUGACUAGAGUACGGUAGAGGGUAGUGGAAUUUCCUGUGUAGCGGUGAAAUGCGUAGAUAUAGGAAGGAACACCAGUGGCGAAGGCGACUACCUGGACUGAUACUGACACUGAGGUGCGAAAGCGUGGGGAGCAAACAGGAUUAGAUACCCCGGUAGUCC